rnacentral:rRNA from 1 species
UACGUAGGGGGCUAGCGUUGUCCGGAAUCAUUGGGCGUAAAGAGCGUGUAGGCGGUCCGGUAAGUCCGCUGUGAAAGUCGGGGGGCUCAACCCUCGAAUGCCGGUGGAUACUGUCGGGCUAGAGUACGGAAGAGGCGAGUGGGAAUUCCUGGUGGUAGCGGUGAAAAUGCGUAGAUAUCGAGAGGAACACCUGCGGCGAAGGCGGGUUGCUGGGCUGAUGACUGACGCUGAGCGCGAAAGCCAGGGGAGCGGAACGGG